GAUGAAGAACGUAGCGAAAUGCGAUAAGUAAUGUGAAUUGCAGAAUCCAGUGAAUCAUCGAAUCUUAGAACGCACAUUGCGCCCGCCAGCAUUCUGGCGGGCAUGCCUGUUCGAGCGUCAUUUCAACCCUCGACCUCCCUUUGGGGAAGUCGGCGUUGGGGACCGGCAGCACACCGCCGGCCCUGAAAUGGAGUGGCGGCCCGUCCGCGGCGACCUCUGCGUAGUAAACCAACUCGCACCGGAACCCCGAGGUGGCCACGCCGUAAAACACCCAACUUCUGAACGUUGACCUCGAAUCAGGUAGGACUACCCGCUGAACUUAAGCAUAUCAAUAAGCGGAGGA
rnacentral:misc_RNA from 1 species